rnacentral:rRNA from 1 species
CUGCAGUUAGACACCGAAGAGAAAGAGACUCGGUGCAAAGAGAACGCUUCUUCGUGGGUUAACAUGUUUCCACGAAGCAAGACUAGAGAGGCUUUUGUUUCUCUAGUUGAGCGGCAGAGUAUGGGUUGGGCCGUAAAACGCCCUGUUGAUGCCCAAGCACUCUGAACAAAUAGCCAGACUGCUGUCGUCCGUCCCGGUCGUACAAUUGUACGAUAGGUGUCUCAACGGAACACGGCGCCUGGUGCCUUGCCUGGGGGGUAAGGUCUCUAGCUACGUCUAGGCGUAGACUAGGGCAACAACGUUCCUCCGGCCGUCAAAAGCCGGAGAAAGACUUCCCUCAUAGGGCAGUUGAACGGUGAUUUUACGAUCAAACCCAGUAAUAAGAUAAAAACAGUUGAACAACUGUAAACGGUGGAUCACUCGGCUCGCAAUUCGAGGAAGAACGGAGCUAGCUCCGAUAAGUAGUGUGAUUUGCAGAUUUUGCUGAACACUAAAGUUUCGAACGCACAUUGCGGCUACGGGGCAACCCGUAGCCUUGUUUUUCUGAGGGUCGGUUAAACCUUAUUAACUGUAGUCUAGUUCUGUUCGUGAAGACCCUUACGGGACUUCUCGUCGGAUCAUGAUUGCCUGUCUCCGGACUUGGCCGCUGUCAACUACCGUUCACCCAUGGACGUAAAAACUCCAUGUCAGGUAAGAUGGUGUGUGCUAGGAAAAGAGAAAGGGCCGACAAGUCAAGUAGCGUCUAGGCGUUGCUGCGUACUUCUGUACGACGACCUCAGUCAAGCAAGAUUACUCGCUUGAUUUAAGCAUAUCAAUAAGCGGAGG